rnacentral:rRNA from 1 species
UACGUAGGUGGCAAGCGUUGUCCGGAUUUACUGGGCGUAAAGAGCGCGCAGGCGGUCGAUCAAGUCGCGUGUGAAAGCCCCCGGCUCAACUGGGGAGGGUCACGCGAUACUGAUCGACUCGAAGGCAGGAGAGGGUAGUGGAAUUCCCGGUGUAGUGGUGAAAUGCGUAGAUAUCUGGAGGAACACCGGUGGCGAAGGCGGCAUCCUGGACCGAUAUUGACGCUGAGGCGCGAAAGCCAGGGGAGCAAACGGG